rnacentral:lncRNA from 10 species
UUUUUCAAGUGGUACCUGAGAUUCAGCACUUCUAAAAAGCUCCAAGGUGAUGAAGGUGCUGCUAGUUGGAGGCCAUACUUUGAGUUGCCAGAUGCUAAAAAUUCAACAGAUGGGAGUAGGAUUUAAUGGCAUCAAGAUUACAGCAAGAGUGUCGUCAAUGUCUGAGAGAAAAGGCACAGGACAAUUCAUGUAAUCUACUUUUUACCUCCUCACUAUGCCAGCAGCACACUUGGAGAGGAAUGUUAUAAUGGAAGAAGCUGCCCAGUCACUGAUUAAAAUAAUGUAGGAAGCUUGUGGAAUCUCCAGGAGAUCCAGAGACCUGGGUGUGGUUGUAUCAGUGCCAAGAACAAAGCAACAAGUUAUGAUGC